rnacentral:RNase_P_RNA from 1 species
CCAGGUGGCCAGACGGCCGCCGGCCCGCCCUUCCGGGACGGGUCGGAGGAAAGUCCGGGCUCCACGGGAAUACGGUGCCGGCCAACGGCCGGCGGGCAGAGGGAAGCCGGCGGUUCGCCGCCGGUCGCCCAAGGCCCAGGGACAGUGCCACAGAGAGCAGACCGCCCAUCCGCCUCGGCCGAUGGGCAAGGGUGAAAGGGUGCGGUAAGGGCGCACCGCGCCCCCGGCAACGGGGGCGGCAGGGCAAACCCCACCGGGAGCAAGGCCGAAUAGGGGUGGCCGGCGGUGGUCCUUCGGGGCCUGACGCGAGGGCAUUCCCGCCCCGCCACCCGGGUUGGCCGCGCGAGGCGCGCCGCGAGGCGCGCCCCAGAGGAAUGGCCGUCACAUCCCCAGCUUUCCGGGGAUGGACAGAACCCGGCUUACCGGCCGCCUGGCGCA